UACGGAGGGGGCGAGUGUUACUCAUGAUAAUUGGGCGUAAAGGGUAUGUAGGCGGUUUUUUAAGUUAGAAGUAAAAUCUUUUGGGAUACCAAAAAGUAAGUCUAAAACUGAAAAGCUAGAGUUAAAUAGGGAAAAGUGGUACGGGUAGUGGAAAGGUAAAAUUUUUAGAUAUUACAUGGACUAACGUUAGGCGAAGGCAACUUUUUAUGUUUAACUGACGCUGAGGUACGAAAGCAUAGGGAGCAAACAGG
rnacentral:rRNA from 1 species